rnacentral:rRNA from 1 species
CUACGGGGUGCUCCAGUGGGGAAUAUUGCACAAUGGAGGAAACUCUGAUGCAGCAACGCCGCGUGGAGGAUGACACUUUUCGGAGCGUAAACUCCUUUUAUAUAGGAAGAAGAUGACGGUACUAUAUGAAUAAGCGCCGGCUAACUCCGUGCCAGCAGCCGCGGUAAUACGGAGGGCGCAAGCGUUACUCGGAAUCACUGGGCGUAAAGAGCGUGUAGGCGGAUUAAAAAGUCAGAAGUGAAAUCCUAUAGCUUAACUAUAGAACUGCUUCUGAAACUCUUAAUCUAGAAUAUGGGAGAGGUAGAUGGAAUUUCUGGUGUAGGGGUAAAAUCCGUAGAGAUCAGAAGGAAUACCGAUUGCGAAGGCGAUCUACUAGAACAUUAUUGACGCUGGGACGCGAAAGCGUGGGGAGCAAACAGGAUUAGAUACCCCCGUGUC